rnacentral:rRNA from 1 species
GAUGAACGCUGGCGGUGUGCCUAAUACAUGCAAGUCGUACGCAUUCUCGUUUCUGAUUGACGGCGCUUGCACCUAAUUGACGAGACAUUGGAAUGAGUGGCGGACGGGUGAGUAACACGUGGGUAACCUGCCCAGAAGCGGGGGAUAACAUUUGGAAACAGAUGCUAAUACCGCAUAAAAGUCAAAACCACAUGGUUUUGAUUUGAAAGAUGGCCUUUGUGCUAUCACUUCUGGAUGGACCCGCGGCGUAUUAGCUAGUUGGUAAGGUAACGGCUUACCAAGGAAAUGAUCCGUAGCCGAACUGAGAGGUUGAUCGGCCACAAUGGGACUGAGACACGGCCCAUACUCCGACGGGAGGCAGCAGUAGGGAAUCUUCCACAAUGGGCGCAAGCCUGAUGGAGCAACACCGCGUGAGUGAAGAAGGGUUUCGGCUCGUAAAACUCUGUUGUUAAAGAAGAACGUAUCUAAGAGUAACUGCUUAGGUAGUGACGGUAUUUAACCAGAAAGCCACGGCUAACUACGUGCCAGCCGCCGCCGUAA